GAAAUUCUCUUUUGAAUUUCAUAGUUACAAUAUUAAUUUUAUGCUACUUUGAAAAAAUAGAAUAAGAUUGAUGUCUAAAGCGUGAUAAAAAAAUCAAAUACAAAAAUAGAAGUGAAAAUCAAUGUUUAAGAAUGUUUUGCAUGAAAAAUAACAAAAUAGAAUAAAAUAUGUAGAAUUAGCAUAAUUCGAUUAUAUUGCACUAAUUUAUUUGAUAACUACUAUAUCAUUUUUAUAGUAAUUUAUUAAGUAAAAGUUAUUAUAACACGUGCACUCUAUCCUUACACAAAUACAUUCAAUGUCUUGAAUCAUAACAAAAAGUGAAAGAGUUAGCAAAAGAACAUCAUUGCUAGGUAAACACCCC
rnacentral:lncRNA from 1 species